AUUGAACGCUGGCGGCAUGCUUUACACAUGCAAGUCGAACGGCAGCGCGGGCUUCGGCCUGGCGGCGAGUGGCGGACGGGCGAGUAAUGCAUCGGAACGUGCCCAUCUGUGGGGGAUAGCGCGGCGAAAGCCGGAUUAAUACCGCAUACGACCUGAGGGUGUAAGCGGGGGACCGAAAGGCCUCGCGCUAUUGGACGGGCCGAUGUCGGAAUAGCUAGUUGGUGGGGUAAAGGCUUACCGAGGCGACGAUCCGUAGCUGGUCUGCGAGGAUGAGCAGCCACACUGGGACUGAGACACGGCCCAGACUCCUACGGGAGGCAGCAGUGGGGAAUUUUGGACAAUGGGGGGAACCCUGAUCCAGCCAUGCCGCGUGCGGGAAGAAGGCCUUCGGGUUGUAAAACGCUUUUGUUCGGGAAGAAAUCCUCUGGGCUAAUACCCCGGGGGGAUGACGGUACCGGAAGAAUAAGGACCGGCUAACUACGGG
rnacentral:rRNA from 1 species